AUGUCCCCUUGUGAUGUCAUCAGAGGAUGCUGUCGUCCCCGUCAUGUGACCGCACGCUGUCUACCUGUGUCUACCCGAAGCAGGCAGAGGCUGCUGGCUGUCUGCCCAGAGUCUGUGUGUGUCUGUGUCUGUGUCUGUGUGUGUGUCUGUGUGUGUGUGUGUGUGUGUGUGUGUGUGUGUCUGUGUGUGUGUGUGCCCCCUGCCUCCACCCUCCCAGCUGCUUUCUAUAAAGAUGGCUCCCUCCUCAGCACUCAGCCUGCAGGUCACAUGACCAUCCUCCAUGUUUCCAGCUCUGAUGAAGGCCUCUACAGCUGUGACAUCAGCGGUCAUGGAGUCUCCACCCAGCUGGAUCUCUGUCACAGCUUCACCCACUCCUCCUCCUCCUCCUCCUCCUCCUUCAUCGGCAUCCACCAGGUCCUCCUCCUCGUCCCCUCCUCUGUCUGUGCUGCUGUCUGUCCCCUCCAUGUCUGCUGUGGUGCUGCUGGUUGUCCUGGUUGUGCUGCUGAGACGAUGUGUCUGCAGGAAGCCUGACGGACUCGCAGUGUCGACUGAAGCAGAGGACGGUCCGGUUUCCUCAGCAGAACCAGACCAGACAGGAGACAGGGACCCAGCAGCACUUUACUCCAUCAGAAGAAGAACAGACGUCAUUUAUGGAGAAAUCAGCAUCAGGAGCAACACGAGGAGAGGUAACACACACACACACACACACACACACACACACUCUGUGACCACAACACUCUCUCUCUCUCUCUCUCUGUGUUCAGAGCUUCCAGCAGAUCCAGCAGUUGUGUACUCCACCCUGAAGCCCGCUCCUUCACAGCUGUGUGAGUCCUCCGAGGAGCCACAGAAACAAAGACACACACACAGCAUCAGAUGAGUGUGUGUUCAGCGCUCAGUGUGUUCAGUGUGUGUGUUCAGUGUGUGUGUUCAGUGUGUGUACAGUGUAACACCGUGUGCAGUCACUGCACCUGGAGGACGUCUGAACACCAUCUGUAUCUGUAACUGAACAUGUUUCAUGACAGGAACAAAUUUUAAAGUCAUAUUUCUCUCAGAACUGUGAGUCUGAAAAAUGUUUUUCUUUAAAUUUUUUUCAAGUCAAGUCAAAUCAAGUCAAAUUUAUUGUCUUAAAAUAUUUUUUAAAGUUGCUUGUAAUUCCUCAAAGAUUUCACAGUAAAUGUCAGGGUGGGUAGGGAGAGAACCAGCAG
rnacentral:lncRNA from 1 species